ACAAACAUACACCCAUGCAAACUCAUAUAUAUGUGCUUAUAUGUAUGCACAAAGAUAAUGCAUAUUCAUAACUGUGCAGAAAAUGAACUUCCAGGGCACAUUUAAAAAUAGAUGCUCUUGAUGCCUCACAUAGAAAAUUAAGGCUAAGGUUUCUUAAGAAGGCACAGUUUCAUUAGUGUUAGAUUUGUUUAGUGAUUUGCACAAAUGUUACUGAGGAGAAAUGCAAGGUCAGCUUCAACAACACUGUAAAUGGGCACAGCACUUUGAUAUGGUUACUUCCUCGCCCUGCAGCCUAGAUGUGUGCUGCACACCACAGGGUAUGCAUGCCACAGCCCCUGCAACCAACUGGGAUGAUGAGGGAGAAGUCUUAAUUUUUUUUGCCUGUUUAUACUUACAGAAAAGGAAUGACACAUGAUGUCAGUUAAAAAGCUGACCAGAUUUAGUUGGUCUUUGUACCUACCUCUGAGUUUGAACCUGAGGUGUAAGGAUGAUGACUAGUGGGUUUGGUUUAAAUCUCUUUAUCUACUUACAGAAACCCAGAUAGCAGAGUGCAGUUAGAAAAGCUUGGGAACUAUUUGCGUAGUGAGGAAAGGCUGAACUUUCCCUCUUAACUAUCAAAGACAAACAAAGGGCAGAGAAGAAAUAAAGGUAAGAACUAAGGUAAUGAAGAGGUGGCUUUCAUGGCUAACAAGGGCAUAAAUGGUCUGCUAGUAUGCAAGGAAUCUUAAUGGUCUUUGAGGAAAACCAAAGGAAAGAUGCAUCAGAGCAAGGAAGGAGUUGCAUUCUUAAAAACAAAACAAAAAAACAAAACAAACCCUGACCCAACAACCAGUAAUUAAUUUGAUAUUACCUUAUACAUAAUGAAAAUGACAGGUGUGACUCACAAAUAGUACGUGUGUGCUUGCUGCAAAGUCUUUAUGCAAAUAUUUAGAGGAGAGUAACACAACCCUUGUGAUAGUUACUACAGGUGGUAUGUGUGGGCUGAUUCUUACACAUAUCAUUCUUUUCUCUUAAAUGUUCAGAAAUGCCCCCAAGCCUGUGACUGGUGACACUGAAGAACACAAGCUUACGUCUUCAAAGAAUGGAAGGGGCUGGGAAGAAGAUAGGGAUAUUUACUGUUGCAGUAAAUUCAAGGUGAAAGGGAUGAGGCUACAGAUACCAAAUGCUGUUCUCAUCAGAUGUCUCUAUCUAAUGUGAAGCUACAGUGCAGGAGAAUCAAACAUACCAUACAGGAUCUGAUCCAGAAAUCCUUGGUUUCUUCUCUGUUUGUGUCUCCUUAUCCUUCUCAGUGAUAACUGGAAGUUCCUGGUGUCUUCUGGUGUCUAGUGAAACCGCAUGAAUGAUAAUAGAGAGAAAAGGCAUUCACUGAAGAGGAGACAAAUUUCACCUACCAUGUCCAGCACAUUCCUUCCUCUGACAGCUGAAAACUGCUGAUAAUUGCCAGAUGGACCAAAAGAAGCAGUGAGCAGAAGCACCCUUUGAAUUUGAUGAGGACAUUGAUGUGAUCAGAACUCUCAUAAACAAGCCCAUCAGCAGGCAUUGCCUCUGCCAUCUAUCGCACAAUGGAGAAUAGACAAUCCUAGCAUGAAAUUCUUCAAAAGAUUACAUUUGCUUUCCUUCAUCCAACACGGAAUUAGAUUUACAGCAUUUACAGUAUUCAGGAUGAAGAUAUUCAGCAGGCAACAUUUUGGCCAAAACUGAGGAGAUAAGCAUUUUCUUCUUGAGAAAAUGCCAACAAGUACAUAAUUUUAUAACUUCAGCUCAUGUUUCCAAGUACCUCUGAGCAGAGCACAUUUGUGAACAAAUAUCUGUUGAUUAUACCUUUUCUCACAAGAAUACAUCUCUCUCUUCCUUAUACCGGACCCCCUGCUUCAGUGAUGUUACAUAUCCUCUCUCUUCAGUGUUUCAUCCUCAUUUGAUUUUCACAUAUUUCUCUACAUUACUUUCUAUUUUAUUUCUGCACCUAAUCUGCCAAUGUUAAGACUAUAUUGCUAGGAAUGAAGCAUUCUUUCUUUGGUUACAACUUCGAAACUGUGAUCAAGUUGUAAGAAAAGCAGUGUCUAAGCACAGGGAGGAAAUCAAUACCUAUUAUGAGUUGUUUUUAAAGACCACUACUGACCAUGAUUUCAUCGUUUACUCAGGCAAUCUUUUCCAAUGAUUUGUAAUUCUACCAGUUCAUACCACUGUUUAGUCAGAAUCUUUCUUGCUGUGAUUUGGGCUGAUCAUUUCUUGCCCUAUUCACUGGAGAUAUUACCUCAGUCUUUGGAACUAAAUUUUACAUACUUGGAAGAUCAUUAGCUUACCUCCAUGCUCAGCCUUGUCUUUCUUCGGUUAAAGAAUCCCAAAUAAAUCAUCUUACCAUCAUGUGUAUUUGUUUCUAGCCCUCUGAUAAAUUCUUGCUGAUUUGAACUUCCUCCAGUUAUCUAUACAUUUCUACAAAGCUGGUACUCAGCUCUAGACACUGUAUUCCACUUGGUGAACAGAGUAGCAGGAUUAUGAUAUUAUAUUUUGCUUAUACAUCUCAGAAUACAAUUUACCUUCUUCAAUAUCAUAACAUUUUGGGGAAAUCUUCAUUUCGAAGCUCUGUUCUGUAGCCAGAUGCUGCUACCCCAGUUCUACUAGGAACUAGUAGUUCUACUAGGAACUAGUUCUACUCUUUCUACUCUUCCCUUGAAUUUUAGACUAUCAUUUUGAUGAUUUCUCCAAUUUUUCACAAUAUCUUUGAUUCCUAACUCUGUUCUCCAGCACUCCUGAAGUCUCUUUCAGCUGCUCACCUUUGGCAAGCUUAAUCCUAUAGUUCUCUACUCCAUCAUUCAAAUAAUUUAUUCCAGUAUUGCAGAUCCCUCUCAACAUGCUGACAACUUCUCUUUGGCUUCCAAACUUGUCCUACAUAUUGGCUUGUGCCUUCAGAGGAGUUUCUUGGAAGACCCACUGUGUCUCUUUAACUCUCUUUUUCUUGAGCUUUACCAUUAUUAGACCUUAUCUAUGGACCCUGAAUAUGCUGAGUCUUGCUCUCAGGAAGCCUCUUCCUUUCCUAACACUGAAUUAAUGCAAUUCUUGCCAUACUUGCUGCCCUUCUGCUAUAUCUUCGUAGCUAGCUCCUCCCACUUUCAUUACAACCAAAACUAGAAGAUCAUCUUCUCUGGAUGAUCUAAUUAGGACCACAAAAGUGAUGAACAGUAUUGAACAGUGAAGAAAGUCCAAGAAAGCUGAAACUAGGCUGGGAGGCUAGAUAUGAGGAGGCUAAGAGGGGAUUUCAUCAGUGUAUAUUAACAUCUGAAGGCAGAUUCUUUUCAGUGAUGCCUAGUGCCUGAAAAAGAGGCAGUGGGCACAAACUGGAACACAAGGGGUAUCCCUGAAUACCAAAGCACUUCCGUGCUGUGUGAGUGACAGAGCGCUGGCACAGGCUGCCCAGAGGCUGUAGGUUUUCCUCUGUGGAGAUCUCCAGAAGCCACUUGGGCAUGGCCGUGGCUCUUCUGUCUUGCGUGUCCCUGCUUGAGCAGGGGUUGGGCAAGAUGGAUUCAGAGGUACCUGACAACCUCAACCGUGCUGUUAUCCUGUAAUUGCCUAUUGUGGUUGGAACCUACCUCUUUACUUCUUGUAAUGAUAACUGUCUGUUCUUCUCUAUAGCAGUGUUGGUGGGAAUGUCUAGUCAACAAUCCACUCCCCAUAUUUGUACAAACACGUCGGGUAACAAAUAUAAUAAUAAAAAUGUCAUUCUCAUACAGCUGUAAUUGUAUAGGAAUUGCAUUUAUACUGUAAAACUUAUAAUUGCUUCCCCGUUCUUACACUUUUUAAAUGACUGCAUUGAAACAAUAAUGGUUGUUUUAUCUGGCUAUCACGACCUGCCUAAUCAAAGCCUUCUAUCAAGUUUUGAUAACUCCUUUGAAAUUCUUUUAAGGGAUCAAUUUCAACAAGGUGGAGUCUGUUUUCAUCUUCUUUAAUCCUUUGCCAGAAGUGGUGCUUCUGCUGUUUUUGUAGCAGAUUAACUUUUAAAGAAAAAGUACUAGGACAAUCAAAUUAAAGAUAUAAAAGGAAUAUUACUCUUAAAAAAAAGAAAAAGAAAAAAAAAAGAAAAAAAAAAAAGAAAAAAGCAACCUCUACAUAGGCUGGCAUAAAUACAUUGAUGAAAAAUGCUGGACUUUAACAGCAACAUCCCAAAAUUGAAAACUUCUUCAGCCUUACCUAACUGCAAUCAUUCUCAUCUUCAAUGACUUCCAAUCACCCAUAUCCAUUAGAUUCAAGCUACACCUUCUCCACCUUCAUUAAAAUGGGUUUUCCAUGCUGGAUUCAUACUGGUGAAGAAGGUGAAGAGCACAGUGAAUAGAAAGCUCAGCUAAGAGUCUACAGAGAUAUAGAAUCAUAGAACCAUAGUAUCACAAGGUUGGAAAAGACCUACAAGAUCUAGUCCAAAUGUCCUCCUAUCACCAUUACUACCCAAGAAGCUACUAAACCAUACCUUGUAGCACUUCAUCCAGAUGCCAGAGAGAGGCAGAAGAGGCAUUUCUGGUUUUAUCUCCCUGACUGUUGGCAUUGACUUCGUAGCAUAUGUCUAAUGUGUAGGUCAGGUGAGUAAAUCAGGUCUCCUGACCACUGAAGUCAAUGGAGCUCAACAGUGCACCACUGGAGCCAAUUGGAGAUUCUUGGAGUACAGUAUGCUUCCAGCCCAGAAGCCUGGAUUUUCUUCCACUAGAAAUGGAAAAGAGGAGAAAAGUGUGUUUCUGACACAUAACUGUGAUAUGCCUGAGAUGUGCACAUAAGCCAAGGCAUGACUGAGAUGUGCACCAUCUGAGCCCACAGCUUAGGUCUGGCAAUGAGAGAAUGACAUUACCCUCUCCCUCCUCCUCUGAGGUGUAUCAAACAGGUCUCAAAAACUGGCUUAUCAAAUAGAAGAUAUUUCUUUUUUCCAGCUAAAAGGAAAACAGCAACCCAACACUACCUUCAUUUGCUAUUAUCCACAUGAUAUAGCUUGAGAUUGAAAGAUUAAAAAACAAAAACAAAACCUCAAAUAGAUCCAUUAAAAAGCUGAGAUAUGAGGAAAGGUCUUCAAAAACUUUGAUUUUGCAUUAACAGAAAGGUUAAUGAAUCUAGCACAGUUUCAGACACUGGAAGGACUAUUUCAGCUGACAGAAACAACUUGAAGGAAAAUCAGAUAAAUGCUACAGGCAGGUGCCAAAAUAUUUUUAAAUGCAACUUGCAAUGGGCUUCCUGAAAGGGAUUAUUUAGUAGAAAAAGAGGCAAGAUUUCAUCCCUGCCUUUUUUACGAUCCUAUUCUAAAGAUUUCCACAACAAUAGUAUAAUCUAGUUCUUCAGGCCUGAGAAAGGCUUUUAAAUCUGCUCUUUCAGAGGUCUUUUAAAUAUUUUGGCAAUUGGAGUCAUCAUUACAGAUUGGAAGUCUGUUGAAAUGAUACAUUAGAGACAUUUGGCUUUACUUUGCAUUCUUACAGAAAGAAACCAUUCUGAAGGAAAAAGAGAAAGAAUAUAAAAAGAACUUUACUGUCCUGCUGAGAGUCACUUUACCUACUUUUCCCCUGACCAGACGUCCUAUUGGAAAAGCACUGCAAUGGAUACCAGGACUUCAGUGGCAUCCUUUGAACAGGACUCUGUCCUUUUCUUGUCAAAUCCUACUUUUUUUCCCUUCACUGCUUUCUGAUAAUGUUAUUAUCAAAGGUUCCCUUGUAGUGAACAUACGGAUGCUGAAAGAUCCACGAGAGGCUUUCUCUUUGUGUUGAAUUCUUUCAUGUGCUGGAGAAAACAAGGAGUUGGUGCUUGGAGAACAUGGAAGCUCCAGCAGACUGAAAAGGAAAUUGAUUGAUCCAUGGGUCAGCUCCUGCGAGCUCCAGGGCUAGCCUAGGGUUGUCUGCAUAGCGCUGUAACCCAUGGUGUGGUACACUUCUAUACCAUAAUGAUUCAUAGGGAAAACGUUAUCUCCUUGAUUUGCUACAGGACACUGCUGCAUAACUUGCCUCUGAAGUACUAACAGCAGAUUUGCCUUUGUAGUCUUCCUACACCGUACUCUCUCCUCUCCCAUCAGUAACACCAGACUGCCUUCCCUCUGCUCAGAAGCCUUUGAGGUUUUGGAAGGCCACCAAGUGAGACUCAGCUAGGUACUGUGAGAUGACAUUAAUCUGAAGAGUAACAUCAUGCUGCAAUUUUUAAAAGGCUUCUGUGACACUAAGAGUUACAGUAUCCUAGGUCCAUGCUAUAGGAGCAUCUUGGCGUGGAAUAACUCUGUCCAGAAGUUGUAACAGUUUUCCUUGUAAGACUGUAAUUCCUUUAAAUUGGUGAGUACCAUCAUUAGCUCACGAGUAUCAUGAGAGCAGCAGGAGCUCAAGGUGCCAAGAUUUUAAGUGCUUUGCUCAGGAUCAGAGGAAGGCUAGAAAAAGUCAAGAUUUUACCCUUAGUAUGAUAAGUCUGCUCUACACAUGUGCUUCCAACCUGAUGUAGGAACAAGCCUGCCCCAGACCUGCUGGUUUCGAUGGAUUUUUUUUCUAUUAACAUGAAUGUGAUAAAUUUCAGGGUGCAUUCCUACUAUGAAGAGCAAAAGGCAGAAGGUCAGAGAAUGGGGGAAGCAGUAUUUUUGAAUGAAAUACCAUUAAAUGACUGAAUGUUAGUUAGGAAAGAAAAGAAAAUGUGAAGAGAGUCAUGAAGGUAAUAAAAGAAAUGUGAGAUGGUUGAAUCUUGAGAAGGCGAACAAAAGCAAGCUAAUGAAGAUACUAAUAUACCUAAGUAAGUUAAAGUAGUUAAUUAGUUAGGAAACAUGCUUAUGGAGUAUGAAUUAUAACGUCAGUGGGGAAAGGAGGCUGUUUUUCUCCAGAUGAGUGUCCAGGGAUCUGUCAAAUAAGAAAGAGCCUCAAGGCCGAAUUCAGUCGUUAUUUGUAGAUCUUUGAGAAUAUUUUUGCUUCAAUUCUAUUUUGUUAUACUUCUGAUAUUGGUAUCAUUUUUAUAAAAUAUUCAGAUCCUUGUUUUAUAACUUUAGUAUGGAAAACUCAGACAACUGUAUUCCAGUAUUGCAAUAUUGGACAUUUCCACCUCUUUUCCCCUGAACUCCAGACAGGCAUUUUCAGGCUUUUGCCUGGACUGCUUUCUUUCCUGUCUGUUUUUUCUCCACUGAUUUUUUCUUUAGCAUAAUUGAAGUUUACUUUCCAGGUAAUAAGGAGCAAGAAGGACUAUAUUCAGCAAAAUGUAAUAGUAAGACAUUUCUCCCCAUAGAGAUUAGGAGACGUUACAGCAGGUUAACACUCCAGCUGGUGGGUAGCUCAUAUUAAGCUGUGGAUCUUUGAAGCCAAAUGAAUGUUGUGAACUUUCCACCCAUAUCACAGUACAGAAACAUCUGGGUGAAAUAGCAUUGAGCUUACUCACAACGAAAACACACAGAGGAAUACAUGCAUACCUUCUUGCUCAUCUCCAUGGCUGAAAGUUGAGCUGAAGUGUGAAAAAGAUUAAGAAAGCCCCUGGUUUUGAAAUCUCAGGAGAGCUGUUUUUCACUCCUUCUGCAAGAGAAACUGAACUGCUUGAUGAUAAGAUGUUCCUCUCUUCAUAUUUAGCACGUUCUAAAAUGCUCUAAAACCAUACACUGAUAGGUAAAUAAAUAGAUAAAUAGUACAGAGAGAAUACACUUUUCAAUAAGUAAAAGUCAUCAUUUGAAUUUUCCUGGGCAAGCACCAUAUCAGAAGGUGCAAAGAACUUUUGGGGCUACUCAGCUGAAAUCCAUAAGUCUCCCAGUUGCUUCCUCCUGCUUCGAUCCCCAGUCUCUGUUCUGAUACUGUUGGUCACAACGUCAUUCAUUUCAAUGGUUUCUAUGAUGUGUCUAUAUUUCCUGUAGAGCCAAGCUGGAGCUCUGUCUACAUCACAAAGUAUUAUAAGCCUUCAUAAGCUUUAUAAUCAGCAGCAUAUUUAAUAUACGUGUAAGAAGUGACGAUUUUUAAAGUAAAGUCUGAAUGCAAAAUAUAGGUGUUAACUAUUUUAGUUAUGAUCAUCUGAUGUAAUUCUAAAACUUUUGGUUGCCUGAUGGUCUGACAGGAUAUUAAAGAUCCUGAAUUACAUUAAUAGAUCAUCAAAUUACUGAAAUGAAAAUAUUUCAAGUCAUAAAGGAUUCAGAGUGGAAAAGCAGGGAGACGUUAUAGGGGGAAAAGGGCUUAGUAUUUUCAAGAAAAGAAAAGAAAAUAGAUCAUUUACACAACAAAGAGCACACAUUUGUUUAAAACAAGCUGAUGCUGCUGAGACAAUAUUUGGAUGUACUUUCAUGGCGCAGGAUACACAUGUUUUAUCUUAUGUUAUGAAACCUGGAGUGAUGAAUACAAUGCCAUGCAGAAAAUAUUUACCAUGAGCGCAGACACUGUAAAUUCUGGUUUCAGCUUCAGCAAAUCCAUACCUCAUGAUGUAAUAAACUUGUUAAUUUCAUUUAGGUUCCAACCUGUCAUGAUCAGAGCUUAUGUUUUUUUCUGUAUCUGUACCACACCUACCAUGUAGUAUCAGAGGAAGUUGCAGUGAUAUCUAUAAAAAAACCUUUACUUAAUAUUUAUUACAUAUUUAAUAUAAGUUACUAAUAAUAAUAAUUGUACUUAUGAUAUCAACAAGUUACUGCUGCAAAGCACUUCCCAAGAUACAAACUAUGCUUUUGUCAUGUCUGUUUUCGAAGAUAAGGUUCAAUGCAAUAGCAGCUGAUUAAAAGAUUGCACUGUUUUAAAAUCAAUAUAUGUCUUUCUUUUCUGCCUGUCUUUCUGUAACUCCUUUUUUCUUUUCUCCUGGUUUAUCCCUGACCUUCUUUUAUUUCUGUUUCCAGUUUAUUAAAAUUUUCCUCUCUUCUUGGCAUGAGAAAUGGACUUGUGGCCUAGAGACUUUCAAACAUACUUCUGUAGCCAUGGAUUUCACAUACCUAGCCUGCUGUCUGCACUGUAUUUAAACUGAAAGGUUAUACUGAAGAAAAUAUUUCUGGAAAAAUUUAUGAACUAAAAGUACUUUACAACCGUUUAUAAUAGCAUGGCACUGGUACUGAAGGACAAAUGGAUCCGGUAGGCAGGAUACACCAGCUGUGUUUGCCAGCCUUGUUAACACUCCUAUGAGCUGCUGCAGAGAUUAAAGAGCAGAGCAAGCAAACGGAAGGAAAUGGAGCAGAGCGCAGCUUUACUUUGCUUUGCUUUGCUAUCCUCCCUUCCUCUCCCCCAUUUUUGACUUUUACUUCCUUUACUUACAGGAAAAUCAAGUUGUGUGCAGGUGGCAAGCAAUCUGAAAGAACGUAGCUUUUCCUUCCAUUAACUGAAGAAGUGAAUGGUUAUUUAUCAAAAGUUUCCAUCUUUUUCACUAAGCAAAAGUUUCUUAACUCUUUCUUACUUUUCGCCCUUGUUGCUAUUUUAAUACUUUCCCUUUCGUUUAGACUUAUUUUUAUUGAAGAACCAUCAUUCACCAACAUCAACAGAUAUUAAGAACAAGUAGUACGAUCCAUUGGCAGAUCUGAAUUUUCAUUAUUUUCUAAGAACAAGGAAAUUACCUUCAGAUCACUACUGACAGAGUUUGGAAUUACCAUUUCACAGAGAUAACUAUGGCCAUAGGAUGGCACAAAGAGCAGUCAGAUAAUCAUCUGCUUUGAUACCAAGAGUCUGAUUGUCAUUCCUGGCUGUAGUGACACCAUUUGUACUUUACAGUGCCAAUUUUUUUUCCAACACAACUGCCACAUUGUGCCCAACAUAGCAGAUGUCAUGUUUAGUGCACCAACCAUGGGUCUAACAUCUCCAACCCAACAUCAUUCCUUGCAGAUGAAGGAAGUGGUCAAAUUACUGUCUGGCUAAUAUUUAUUCAAAGAUUUUUUGUUUGUUUGUCUGGUUAUAAUGUUACUUUUUGUUUUAUUUUUAUCUUUAAUUGUUCCACUGGAGCAAAUGAUAGCAUCUAGAUUCAUUCACUGUCCGGGCAUUAAGCAGCCAGUCACUGAAAUGCACAGUGGAACUCCUGUUGUACAAUUUUAUAUUUAAGUGUUGUUUGCAUGUCAUUGUAAAGGUCCUAGCUGUUUUGUUUAUUACUUAGGUAGUCAAGAGACCUGUUUAGCAUACAUGACUAUAGUUCGAAUGCUACAGAUACCAAUACAUACGAAUAUUAAUGCAAGGUGCUCCAUCUUCUUGCAAAUAUUCUUGUCAAUACUUCACACUCAAAAAUUAUGAGCCAGGAGGAAAUAUGAAUGUCACUAAUGAAAACCAAUGCCCUUCAUUUUCUACAGCAUCAGGAAUGCCUUUCAAUCUAUUUCCUCAGCUGUGUGGACUCUCAGUGGAGUGACACUCUCAAGACAUUACAGCCUUCCUCUACAUACAGUAAUAAUCUAGAAAAAAUCACAUUCAUCAUUUCUUAAUAUUUGCUUUUAUUUAGCUAUAAGCAAACUCAAAUGAUAUGCUGUUCAAUUUCCAACAGGAUUUGGGGUCCAGACUGAGCAAAGUGACUUACAGGAAUUCAUAUAAGAUGAGAUAGUCGUAUAUUUUAUCCCACCCACCUCUGCAAAAACAUCAAGGCUGUAGUGUUCCAAAACAUGUGGUUUUGUGUGUCGAGCAUUUAGGCUGUUAUGGGACCAAUUUCCUUCAGAUUAAGUUGCUCAGUUCUCAUAAGAUCCAGCCACACCAGGUGGUUACCACCUGAAUAGCCCUUUCACCUUGGUAAAUCCAUCCCAGCACUCUCUCCAGCUUUGGCAGAAGCAGCGACUUGAAGUUAGAAACAGUGCCCUGGAGCUUCUUGUGACACCAUCUCUAGAACCAAACUUAUAAAUUAAGUAGCGAGAUUGGAAUUUCCCCCAGGUAACUACGCUGUCGUCUUCACAACUGCUCUCCAGCUGCACAAGUCGUAAUGGUAUAUGCAGCACCAUGUGCUACCAACAACUGCCAGGAAAAGUAGCCACAAGACAUCCUGAAAUGACUGUAUUUAUUUCUUUUAAUACUACAUGCAUCUUUGGCUUUCCUGCAUUAGUGGCCAACUGACUUGUUCAAGGAAUUAUGAACACCAGCUGAAAGAAACAACAUCUACCCUGUCACCAAAAGUAAAACUCUUGGUGGCCUGGAAGACACACACAAACACAUCUGUUGUAGGAAACUGAUGACAAAGAAUCAACCAGAACAUGUACAGCAAGAAACAGUGCGGGCCCACAGACUUUGAUGGGAGUGGUGGCAGCAUCUCAGAGAUGUUUAAACCUCAAGAGAAAUGAUGCUCUGAAUAUUUGCUGUUCUCCUGUGCUGUGUCCUCCAAACAUUUAAGAUAUGGAACAGAAGCUAUAUGGGGAAGUUCCUUCAGAACUCUUCAAAAAGGAGAUGAGAUCACAGGAACAGAGCAUGAGGCUGAACCCUCAUUACACAUGAGUAGGGCUACCUGCUUCCAUAGGGCAGUUCUUCUUCUGUUUCGGGACCUCCCACAUUCCUCCCAAAUCACUUCUUUGAAGAGAAGGCUAAAUAGUAAUCUAGAUUGUAACUGCAGAUGUCUGGAUUUUCUGCCCAUUCCUUCAAUUUAGUAAUGCUUACUGAACAGGUAAAUGUCAUGUUAACCUCGACGAAUAUUUGCACUGUGUUUAUUCUGAAUUCAGAAGCAAAUGUAUCAGCAAGCACUUGUGUCCCAAAGAAAAAGCAUGUGGAUUUGAAUCCAUCUCGUUUCCACAAAAGGGAAAACGGAGGUAGACUUUCUCAGAAGCUUCUAGAAGCACCAAAGAAAAGAAAGUGGGUAAAAUGGAAUCAACUGUGUUGUAGAGACAGUUGAAGCGGUCUCUAUAAACAAGCCCCCAAGUUUGAUUUAGGAAAAAAAAAAAAGACAUGCUACUCUGAACAGACCUUUUCUGCUCUAUGAGCUUCAGUUGGAAAACCUGGAGAAAACUUAGAGAAACACAGAAAAAAAAGAAAAAAGAAAAAAGAAAAAAAAAACCUGAGCAGAUCAUUUACAAGGAAUAUUGAAAGCAUUAAAUUAUUUGAGCUUGGCUAAACAAUGGCACAACAACAUUUUCAGUCUACAAGUCUAUUUUUAAACUUUAUUUUUAAACGAUGUUUUUACAGUGAGGCAGUUUGUAAGUGAAGUGACUCUGUAGGCGACUCCUUUUAAUACAACAUCUCCCUGGCAACAAGACCAGCAAAAAUAGAAAAAGAGAUUAGAUGACCAAUUGUUUCUUCCAUCUCUCAUGUCUUCAAUUCCUUUGCUGGAUGGCUGAUGCAGAGCUCGGACUCAGCGACUCCUCUGGGUGGGUGAACCUCGAUUCGGUAUGUUGCCUUUGGCAAAAGUCAUUACAUGCAGCUACAAGGUAUGCGAUGCUGAUAUCGUAUGGCUGUAAAAGGAGAAAAAAAUUUCUUUGAAGUGCCAACAGAAAGUCUUGGCUAUCGCGGGACCAAAAUUUCAGCAUUUCCUUAUGAAUAUUUUUAAGAUCUAACUUAAGGAAACAACAAGGAGAUUUUGGGAAGAAUCGACAAUUGAUCCAGGAACCAUGGCUGGGAACGGUUCCUUGGAAAAGCAUCCAGCGCAGCCCUGAACUUCAUGGAUGCUGCAGCAGCACAGAACAGAUGAUGGAGAAAAUGCAGAUGCAUUAUUGACUGAGACAAAUAAAAGGUGCUCAAAAUCAAA